rnacentral:rRNA from 1 species
UACGAAGGGGGCUAGCGUUGUUCGGAAUUACUGGGCGUAAAGCGUGCGCAGGCGGCUUUGCAAGUCAGACGUGAAAUCCCCGGGCUUAACCUGGGAAUGGCGUUUGAAAACUACGGAGCUGGAGUGUGGCAGAGGGAGGUAGAAUUCCACGUGUAGCGGUGAAAUGCGUAGAUAUGUGGAGGAAUACCGAUGGCGAAGGCAGCUCGCUGGGACGGUACUGACGCUGAGACGCGAAAGCGUGGGGAGCAAACAGG